CAGGAGACGCUCAGCUGAAUUAAACAAUCUCCCAGAAUUCUUUAGAACAGAGAAUAUCUUUAAAAAAAAAAAAAAUUAUUAUUAUUAUUUCAAGUUAAUGUAGUUCUUUAUUAUUGGUCAGAAUUAAUAUACUGAUAACAGUGAUGGCUAUGGAUCACAGGGAAAACAAAAUAGAAAAAAAAGACACGUCUUAUACAGAAGACGAUAAUGUAAGACUUAUAUCUUAUCGAAAGUUGCAUGAUGAGCCACCAAGGCUAUGUGCAGCUCAGGACAAAUCUGGAAAGGUAUUAAGGGGAGACCCUUGUAUAAGGAUCGGCAAAUCUGAAGAACUUGAUCAACAGGUACGUGUGUUUGUGUUUUACUGGAAAAGAAAAUAUUUUAUUGAUUAAACUGUAAGCUAUGGCGAAUUGAUAUCCAAGAUGCAAAAUGUAGGCUGGGAAAAAAUUGUAAUUUUUUUUUUUUUUCAAAAUUACUAUUUUGACUUAAAUUUACAUUCAUGUACAUUUUGCAAUUACUCCACAUCAGUCAAUAAUUAAAGAAUUGACGUGAUGUUGAAAUGACUAUUAUCAUUAUGUUCAUAUUUUCAUAAUUGUUCUUUUUAGCAAAGAUGUUUUUAUUUUUCAGUAAAUGAUUUCCAGUUUUGGGCUAGUUGGUUGCUUUUAUUAUUUAUUACAUAUAUAAUAUCAUACAGAUAAUAUAUUAAUUUGACUUAUUCGUGUAUGUAGAAAUAUUGUGGGUUCAUCAAAAAGGAAACUGUUUAUAUUUAUUGUUCUAUACCACCCUGGUAAGUCAUAUUUCCCGAUAGAAUGAAAGCAUAUCAGUUUCUCCUGUAAGUGGUAGGAGUGUGAGAGUAAUAAAUGCAAUAAUAUUUAUCAUGCACAUUCUGAGCAAAGACAAUGUAUUUCAUUGUUAAAAAAAAAAAAGGCAGUAUCUGUGUUCAAAACACGUACAUUAUAAGAGGUUUUUAGUUUUUGGGUGCUUAGAAUGUCCCUUUUAAUUUGGAAACAACAACAGACAGAAAUAUAAGCCAAACUACAUGUGUACUAAUAGAGAGGUAGAAUAAAGAGGAAGGAGGCAUGUUUGGUAUCAAAAUCAAGAUGAAAAUCUCUGCCUGGAAGCGGUUUCUAUGCCGGGGAUCACACUAGAAGUAUCGGCAUGUCCAUUUGAUGGUACCUGAAUGAGAGAAAAUGAAAUGUUAUCGAUGUAGCUGUCUCAUUGCUAGAAUGGUGUUUGCUAAUCAUUUGUUUUAUUGUUUAUACUUAGACUAUGGAAGGAGUAAGAUCCAUGAGUGAAACUAUAGUUUCGAUAAUUAUUUGGUAGAUGAGGGCCGUUGACCGGCAUCCAAAUGGGUCGUAUUUUGGGUUACGACCACCAGAUAUGUAAACAAUAAUAACCCAUGUUGUUAGCAUCAUAAGUCUGAUUGUUGGUUACCUUACAGUCCCAAAGAUCCAGGGGAUAGUCAACAUUUUGCUCUAUAAGAAGUGCUAACUUCUUUUGAAUUGUAGGAAGUCAGCUUUUAGUUUUAACCAAGGCUUUUACACCUAUGCUGUUUACAAGGUAAUUGACCAAUGGGUGCUUAAUCCUAAGACUCAUAGACAUGCAUAUAUAUCCAUCCAUCCACACAUGCACAUAAAACACAAAUGUUUCAGUAUCAAAACAAAUGCCAACCCCCGUCAACUCUCUAAUUUAAUUUGACAUAAUUAUUAUGUUCAAUUUACAUAUGUGUAUUCAGUUUUAAUUGCCCAUAAGAAUUACUUAGACAAUUCUUUUUAUAUUUACCGAAUGUAUGUGCACGUAGGUAGACAAAGAGUUUUAAGGGAAAAUCAUCAUGGAAAAAUUGAUAUCAUGUAUUAUAUGUUAAUGUAUGCAUCUUUGCAAAGUUUUAAUUACCAUAGUCACUUAAUUUGAAAUAGGUUAUAGUGCCAAUUAAUUCUCCUUUCUCCAGUGUGAGUCAGUGCAUUCCCUGAAUUUUCUACAAACAGUAGUUGGCCUUUCUCACUGUUUGAGUUACUGCCUGCACUCUUCUAAUGAAUUCUAAGCAUACACUGCUUAGAAUUUUUGCUUCCGGUAAAAAUGUAUUUUCUGUGAUGUCACCAAGACUCAUGGCCAACUUUGUAAAGCGUUUCAAGUUUUAAUUUAUAGAAAGUUCCCCUUUAAAGGACCACUAUAGUACCAGGAAAAUAUACUUGUUUUCCUGGCACUAUAGUGCCCUGAGGGUGCCCCCACCCUCAGGGUCCCCCUCCUGCCGGGCUCUAGGGGGAAGAAGGGGUUAAACUUACCUCUUUCUCCAGCGCUGGACGGGGAGCUCUCCUCCUCCUCUCCGCCUCCUCUCCUCCUCCCCGGCUGAAUGCGCAUGCGCGGCAAGAGCUGCGCACCCAUUCAGCCAGUCUCAUAGGAAAGCAUUCUCAAUCAAAAAAAAAAUCACAGUGAGAAGCACGCAAGCGCCUCUGGCGGCUGUCAAUGAGACAGCCACUAGAGGCUGGAUUAACCCAUUUAUAAACAUAGCAGUUUCUCUGAAACUGCUACGUUUAUAGAAAAAAGGGUUAACCCUAGCUGGACCUGGCACCCACACCACUUCAUUAAGCUGAAAUGGUCUGGGUGCCUAUAGUGGUCCUUUAAGUAAAUAUCAUGACUGUGGAAUAAGAAAACAUUAUUUAUACCUGGCUGAUUCCCCACCUCUGGUUAAAGUUUAUGGGAAAAUCGCUGAAUAUAAGAAAAUAAAAUUUGAUACAUAACUAAUCUGUCAUUGUGAAAUCCAGAUCUCAGUAUGUUGCAAUAAGAUCAUAAGGUCUUUAGUGUGAAACCGCACUAAGGAUUUGGGAGAUUAAAAAUGUAAUUUGAUGACAAUAAAGUGGGGUUCUUCUAAAUGUCCCCAGCAACCAUGGUUGCAGAUUUCAUUAUAUAGGACAUGAACAGUAUGUGGAUUUUUCUUCUAUAUAUUUUUCCUUUGGAUGUUUAUAAUGUGUUUUCAAUAAAACUAAGAACUGAGUUCAAUGAGAACUGAGUAAAAUAAAAGAAUAUAAUUUUUUUUUUCAUUGUUCCUAUUAGGAUAUAUUUAUUUUUCUGCUCAAUGCCAGAUGCAUUAUUUGUGUGCCAGAUUUCUAAUGCUGCAACAGACUUUUUAAUAUGGUUUUAUUGACCAGAUCUCAUUUCGUUGUUAAUUUAUCUCUAUAUCAAAAUAAUUGGUGAACUGCCAAAUAUAGAUUAGCCUGAUUUAACAUGAAACCACAAUAUCUUGUAAUAUAUAUGAAAAUUGCACAAACUAUGUAAAAAGGGGGGCGUGUCCUGACUGCCGAUGUGAACAGAUGUGCUGCAACGAAGCUCCCCAAAGCGGAUAAUAACGAGCCGGGAUAACACGGUCGAGAAACCCUCAAUGGGAAACAAAAAGAGACUGUCCACCAUAGCACACACUCCGGACCCGGGACGGGGUAAAAAAUCCGGAGAUUUAGACCGAUACUUCAGGGACACGGUCAAUAUAUUAGGCGCGGAGCAGGAAGAGUGCCGGAUGCCAUCUUUAUCACGCGGCUCACACUCCAGCAGCCCGUCUAGAUCAGAGCAUGCUGCUGAGGCAGGCAUGGCAGAAAUAAAAGAAAUCCUCCAGAAUUUGCCAUCGAAAGCAGAGUUAGCUAUAAUGCUGACGAAAUUAGAAUCUUCUGUGCAAGAACAACUCUCCACACUUACCUCGGAAAUCAAACAGAUUAGUAAUAGAGUGGGGGAUCUGGAGGACGACCACGAGCAAAUUAUGGAUAGGCUGCUACACUUGGAACAGAGCCAGGAGAGGAAUGAGGCCAAAUUACUAUAUAACAUAAAGCUGGCUGAGGAUCUCGACAAUAAAGGCCGCAGAAAUAAUAUCAGAGUGCGCAGCCUACCGGAGGCGCAAGGAACGGGCGAGGACCUCCACAUGAUACUGCAAACUCUUUUCAACAGAAUACUACAGAGGCCUGAAAAUACCCAUAUCGUCAUAGAUAGGGCCCACAGAGCGCUCAAGCCUAGGGGUCUAGCACCAGAAACCCCCAGGGACGUGAUAUGCAGAGUGCACUACUUUUCGGAGAAGGAGGAAAUUAUGCGCACCGCGAGAGAAACCACAGAAAUUCUGUUCAACAAUACGAAAAUACUAUUACUCCCUGAUCUUUCCUGGUUAACGCUUAGAGGCCGGGGGGCCUUGAGACCGGUCACACAAGCCCUGCAACAGGCGGGAAUCAAGUACAGGUGGGGUUAUCCAUUCUCCCUCACCGUUAAUCACCAAGGGAACCAGAUCUCCCUGACGACGGCAGCAGAACUCCCAGAAUUCACUAAACGCCUAGGCAUCCCGACGAUGGAAAUAAAAGACUGGUAUGAAGUUGGGAGCCAAGGGAACCAACCUCCGCCUAGCCGACUAUUGCAAAGCCGAACUCAAGACCCAAGAAGGACACUGACGAAGAGAACGCCGACGGAUUCGCUCCAGCAGAGAUCUCAACGCCUACCAGGCACUCCAAAAAGGAACAGAUGAGACGGGUCACAAUCUCCACACAACGUAAGGUGGAAUGGACUUAGAGACUAUCACAUCACCCGCUAUUCCCAUACCAUACUUAAUUUGGCACGGUAAAUAUUUCCGAUUGUUAUAUUUUCUUUAUACACAUGAGAUCAGUAUGACGAGGGGGAUAAGCUAGUAACACACAAGAGCUUGCCUCCUUAUUUAGCACCUCAUGCCACCCAAGAAACACAAACUAAAAGGCACAGGACCCGGAGGUUUGCCGGGUGGAGACACCCAGGCGGGACUCUGGGGGAUAGCUAGACACACCAUUAGGAAAUUAGGAGACCUAAUGCGACCGUCUUCUUUAAGAGGCGGAACUUAAAAAUCACCACAAUAGGACAACAUAAAGUCCUCAUGCUGAUCCCAUUCUGUCAUCCCGGGCUAAUCAUUCACAACAGUUGAUUGGCCGCGGAGGGGGUGCGAUGUUCACACUCAGGGUAAGUUAUCUAAUUACCACCCUCUGAGGGCGGAGAGCUACAGACAGUGCGAGAAGCAGAGCGCAAUUUGCGCCUCGCUCUUACUGACGACACACAAACCCCCAUUGUUGUGGGACCAUUUACGGUCCAGAGCGGUACACAUCACAGUAACUGGCUAUUGGUUUCCAUUAUUGUCAGUUCUUAAUACUUCCCGGACCCAGUUAGUAUAACUCGGAAAGCUCAGGGUUGAGUACCAACUCCUUACUAGAGGUCACCAAGCGCACUAAGAAAAGCCCACAAAUCUACUUUCAUAAGAGAGGGUUAACAUUUCAAAAAAAAACAAAAAACCUGUACUGACGACACCCUCAACCACGCAAGUGACCUCUACCAUAGAGACAAUAUCGUUGUUAAACCACAUUACAAGUCCUAUUAGUCUCUCAGUGAUUGAGACUAGUGAAUAUUGAUUAUAUUCUCAUUGUUCGAUUACAUUUCAUUGUAUAUAGUUAAAACUUCAAGAUUAUUCGUUCAGGUGCAAUCAAACCACUGAGCUCAGGGGCUAUUUAGCUGGUCAAGCACAUUACCCCAAAACUCUCUCAUCGCCCCAAGACUAGACAUUGGUUUAGGGGUACAGCCUAUGAGGAUACCCCUGUGUUCUGCCUAUUCCCAGAAUUACGGAUAACUAGACCCCAUCAUGGGUAAACUCCAAAUACUAUCACAAAAUGCUAGGGGCCUAAACUCCCCAGAGAAACGAAGGAUGGUGCUCAAGGAUCUAGCGGCAUCAGGGGCAGACAUAAUUUUCCUGCAGGAGACUCAUCUUAGGGGCACGACGGCACCCUCCCUUAGACACCCUAGAUUUACACACAUCUACUACAACUUUAGUAAAAGCAAAUCUAGGGGGGUAGCGAUAUUGAUCAAAUCCGGGGUCCCAUUCACCUACAUCAACCACAUAGCAGAUAACUCAGGACGGUACCUGAUAGUGCAGGGUCAAGUGGGCACGUCACCAAUCACCCUAGUGGGGAUAUAUCUCCCGAACAAGCACCAAUGUGGCACUUUCCAGAGAAUAUUAGCUAAAAUCCAGCGAAACGCACAAGGCACACUGAUAAUUGAGGGCGACUUCAACAUUUCCCUAGAUUCAGCUAGGGAUAGCACUUCACUCAAAACUAAACACAUGGAACCGGCCCGACAUCAAAUGCAACAUAUUCUGCACACGAACCAACUAGUAGACUGCUGGAGGGCCCUACACCCAACCACGAAGGAUUUCACACAUUACUCAGUCCCAAAUAACACGUACUCACGUAUAGACUUUUUCCUAACUACACAUAGAGAUCUGGGUUUCGUAACGGAUGCAACCAUAGGAAAUGCAACCUAGUCUGAUCACACCCCAAUAACUAUUUCACUUGAUCUCCCCUCAUUCCCCCGCCCUAAAGGGCAGUGGAAGCUAAACCAACACCUGCUUCAAUCACACCAAAUCAAGCAAGCCGUAAAAGCAUCCAUCACACAAUAUUUCAAGGAGAAUAAAACCCCCGACACGACAGCUUUUACACAAUGGGAAGCACACAAAGCAGUAAUGCUGGGGGAACUCAUAAAAUGGGGGGCGCAGACCAAGAAAAACAAAUAUAAAAGGAUCACAGAGCUCUUAGGAGAAAUUAGUUCUCUUGAGGAAGCUCACAAACACAACCUUUCAGACCCAAUAUUACUGCUCUCUUAUUGCAUUACGAAAGGAACUACACUCCAUCCUCCUAGACAAUGCUAAAAAAGCUAUACUUUGGACUAAUCACCUAUACGUCGCACAAGGCAAUAGAAGUGGCAAACUUCUGGCCCAUGCUCUGAAACACAAACAAGCCCAGACUUAUAUCCCUAGGAUAAAAUGCCCCAACAACACAGUAGCAUCCACUACGGAGGACAUAGCGGAGGCUUUCAGGGAUUAUUACACGUCCUUAUAUAAUUUAAGAAGUACAGCCCCGACCACCGAAGACAUCACAACAUAUUUGGCAGACAAAUUUGACACCACCCUAAUGGCAGCGGCCACAAGAUCAUUGGAGGAGCCAUUCUCCUUAGAUGAACUAAAGUUGGCCAUCAAACAAACCCCAGGGAACAAAAGUCCAGGCCCAAACGGAUUCUCCAUGGUUUAUUAUAAGACCUUUCAAAAGGAUCUGAUGGAUCCUUUCUUAGAAGCAAUUAAUUAUAUUCCUCUGGGACACUCUAUACCCACACAAGCAUUAGAGGCAUCCAUCACACUCUUGCCCAAACCCGGGAAAGACCCGGAGAAAUGUGCGAGUUAUAGACCAAUUUCCCUUAUCAACGUAGACAUUAAAAUCUUCACCAAAAUGAUGGCAUCGAGACUGCGGCCCUUCUUGACAGACCUAGUCCACCCUGAUCAGGCAGGCUUCGUUCCAGCGAGAGAGGCGAAGGACAAUACGACCAAAACGAUCAAUCUGAUACAUGCAGCCUUGAAAACCAAGAAGCCCCCUCUCAUGCUGGCAAUAGACGCGGAGAAGGCGUUUGACAGGGUGGACUGGUCUUUUCUUAUGCUAACCCUGACAGCUUUGGGCUUUGGAGAUAGGUGGCUAAUCUGGAUUAAAGCCAUAUACUCAACACCUACGGUGCGGCUAAAAGUGAACGGGCAGCUAUCGAAGCCUUUCCAAAUAAGCAACGGUAUGCGCCAGGGCUGCCCUUUAUCCCCCCUCCUAUUUAUUUGAUCGUUAGAACCUCUAUUACAAGAGGUCCAUAGGAGAGUAGACAUAAGAGGCAUUAAAGUAGGGACCAAAGACUAUAAAGUGUCUGCCUUUGCGGAUGAUUUACUAUUUACCAUAACACACCCUACAUCCAGUCUGCCUAUUCUUAUGGAAGUCCUCGACAGAUAUAGUGACUUCUCCAACUUCAAAAUAAACACAGAAAAAUGCGAGAUCCUAAAUAUUAAUGUCCCUAAGGACCAAGUCACCCGCAUACGGGACGCAUACCCAUUCCUCUGGGCUAAUAAUUCCAUUACAUAUCUGGGGGUGCAAUUAACGAAUUCAUACCACACACUCUACUUCGCGAACUUCCCACAACUACUCACCGCAAUAAGAUCAGAUCUAGCAAAGUGGGAUAAACCACACUUUAGGUGGAUGGGCCGUAUCAACAUCAUUACAAAUGAUGAUCCUACCACGUAUACUAUACUUACUCAACACACUACCAAUUCAUAUCCCUUCAAAGUUUUAUAGACAGAUACAAACGAUGAUUACCUCUUUUAUAUGGGCUAAGAAAAGGCCUAGGAUAGCCUACAAUAUCCUGACCAAAAAUAGAGAAAGGAUAGGAUGCCCGCACAUUCUCCAGUACUACAAAGCAAUACACCUAGGGCGCAUAAUAGAGUGGUCGAGACCAGAUGGGAAGAAGAUGUGGGUCGAGAUAGAACAAGAUCAAAUAGACACUCCAUUGCAAGCUCUCCCCUGGUCAACUCAUACCACCAACAUUAAAAUCCUGAACAAUUACCACCACACUACAAAUCUGGAAGUCAAUCAAUCAAGGCUCGGAAUUUACUCCGACCACAUCUCCCAAGUACCCCAUAUCGCAUAACCCAUUACUACGGACGAACCUGGAAAGCCUCGGGAAGGCCCCAGGGACGUCUCUGACGAAAGACCACUAUUAAACAUUAGGUGAGGUUAUAGGACCUCAGGGACUAAGACCUCUACAGGAUCUUGCGAGAUCCAAAAACCAAACCAUGUUGCAAACAUUCCAAUACUAUCAACUCAAACAUUUCUUAAGCAAAGAACAACUAUUAAAUUGGACACCUAGAGUUGAAACGUCUUUUGAAGCCUUAUGCACAAAACCAAUAACUAAGAAAAUCAUAUCGAAAUGUUAUCAACUAAUCCAGGCUUCAGAGAACGCGGGCCUCCCAUGGUUCACAAGAGCCGCAUUUGGACGGCUCUCUACACCACUGGAGGAAUCCCAAUGGUCGACCAUAUUCCAAAAAAUGCUGAAAACCCACCUGAAUAUACCAAUGCAAGAGGCUAACUAUAAAUUCCUCACGAAAUGAUAUAUCACACCUGUAGAGGCAAAUAAAUAUAAACCACAGCACUCCCCCAUAUGCUGGAGAUGUGGGCUAGAACGGGGAACAUACCAACAUAUUUGGUGGGAGUGCAGAGGAGUGGUGGGAUUCUGGAAGGAAGUCGCGAGAAUCACGGAACACCUUAGCGGGAUACCCAUAGCAUUCACACCCGAGGCAUUACUUUACUUCCACAUACCCAUCUCCCACGCCAAAUUUAAAAAGUCGAUACUAUAUUUUCUACUGACAACAGCGAAGACAGUAAUAGCGGGGCACUGGAAAUCUCAAAUAAACCUUCACGCAGGGAAUGGUUCCUCAAGAUAGAUUAUAUUCAUAAGAUGGAGGAACUCAGAAUGUCCACAUCAGGCAAGCAACAUUGGUUCAGCACGAUAUGGAGUUCCUGGGAAUUAUUUACACAGGGAAAGGAAGGCUGGGGGACACCAACACCUCACUAAGAACUUCAAUUGACCCAGGGAAUACUAGGGGCCAACUAGAUCUUAAGACUCCAUAUACAAACGAUCCACCAAAAAACUCGCGAGUGUAUCCACAGAUCCUCAAGAAUGAGCGGUCCUUAAACAGAGCGGGGGGAGAAGAGAGGUGGGGACAAUCCACUUAAGUCCUGAAGGAUUGGGAACAGAUCUCACAAGAUAAGGGGGGAAAAGUCUCACAGGGGCCUAGUUGACCAGGAGAGUUACCACCCUUUGGGGGAGUUUUUGGGACCGGAACAUCGAGGAUGGUAGGAACCUGUCUCCAGGGUACCUUUAGGGUACAUUGGCAUUAUAGGAGGCUUAACUAUAAAAUUUGCUCACCCAGGAAGUGGGAGGGGACACCACUAGGGGAAAUGCUACUUGAUCCUCAUAGGCGGUACAGUGAAUACAUAUGACACUGCUCCGCGACGGACCAGCUAAAAACCGAACACUCUGACCUUUAGAUUGCACAGCCUGCCUGUUAUUGGUUUUGUUGGUAUUUGUUGUACUAAUUCAAUGUGGAUAUAUUUAUGUGAAAUACUGAUGUAUCUAAUUCAAAUUGGAUUUAUGUGGAAAUGUGUUCAUGCUAUACGCUCUCAGAAGAAAAGCAAUAAAAAUAAAAUAAAUUCAAAAAUAAAUUAAAAUACUAUGUAAAAAGGACAUAUUUACGUUAUUGUUUUAAAUCAGGGUUAUUACACAUUUUAAAGAUUGUGAAGAACAAAAGGGAUAAAUUUAAUACAGAAGCUGUAAAAACCAACAGAAGCAUAUGAUAUUCUGAAAUUACAAUUUUCCACGAGGCAAAAUCAAAGAUUUCUUGUUUAGCUGGGACUGACCAGCAGCGACUGGUGAAGUUUUAAGAUGGCAGAGCACCAGACUCCUCCCCCAGAAUUUUACUUCUCCCUGUACAGUACAGAUAUACUCAUACUAUACAGAUAGCUGAACAUAAUACAGAGAUACUCAUACAAUAAAACAAGCUGGGCACAACAUAAAGAUAUCUAUAAAAUACAUAGAGCUGAGUACAAUACAGAGACAUCCAUACCACAAACAUAGAUGGGGAAUAAAUACAGCUAUAAUAAACAGAGCUGGGCACAAUACAAAGAUACAUAUACAAUAGACAGAGCUGGGUAGACUACAGAAAUUCCAUACAACAGGUAAAGCUGAGUAAAAUACAGAGAAAUAACACACAGAGCCGGGCAAGAUAAGGAGAUAAGAUAACUAUCCCAAACAGCCAGGAUCACUGUGAGGAAUUACACAGAGCUGCAAUACAAUACAUGUCUACAUAUAAUGUUCCAGUUCUCUAUCUUCCUAGCCCCCUCUUAGAUCUUCCUUACAUGAUCUCAUCUCCAGUAGUGCUCCUGCUAUGAUAACUGUAGCUUAAAUAUUGCUGCUGUUGUGAAACAUAUCAGCUACCCCAUAAGCUCUCAGUGUGGUGCACAUAGUUAAAGCAUCAAAAUACUGAUAGACUCCAACCAAGUCAGCUACUCCUGGCUCACUAUUAUCUCUCAGCACACAGUGUACCCAGGGUUAAAGCAGCAGGAUACUGAUAGACUCCAAUAUAAUUAAUCCGCAGUGGUAAUAUGGGGUCAAUAAGGAGCUGACAUGGUUAACUAAAUCAACAAUUAUUACAGAUUAAAAGAGAUUGAAAUCAGAAUCAGACAUCAGAUCAGUCCUCAGAGUCACAGCCCCAGUCCUGCAGUUUAAAUCUUCACAACUUCACAAUGAUUGUCUCAGGCCUCCGCUGUUGAGUGACUGAGCACUUUAAAAAAUAUGGUGGGUAUGUGCAGUAGGAGUUCUUAAAACUAUUAAUGACAGGUGGCACAGUGCUGUGUGUAAGAUAUGUACCGCUCCCCUUGUCAUCUCAGGGGACUGCAGGCAUUAUUACCCAUUCAACGAGUGUUUACGUUGUGUAAUGUAAUUUGUGCUUCAGAAGAAUGAAACUGAUUUUAUUUUUGACAUGGGUAAAGCUGAACAAGUGCCCAUGGCAUCCCUUUGUAAAAGUUAUCUAAUGAUAUACAAUUAUUAUGGGUCUGUCCUGGAUAUUGGUCUGUUUUUACAAUAUAUAAUGUAUUAUAUCCGUAAAAUAGCAGAAAAGUUUUUUUGAAAUUUAUUUAAACUGAAUUUGAUUUUAGCAAAAUCACACAGAACAGAGUAAAUAUUAAGUGGAACCUGUAGCAAUUUAAAAAUUAAAUAUAAGACCUACACUCCCUUGAUGACACAAGCAUUCUGUGAACUUAAUGUAUAUUUCUCACCUUUUUUCUUUUUAGACGUUUUUACGUUCCAACCUCCCGCAAUGUACUGGAAAAUCAUCACUGAAGCCUGGUUUAGCGUUUGACAAUUUGGGCUUUCAGGCUAGCAUAGAUGAUGUUUCCUCUUCAUCCUCUAACAUAAGCUCUGUUGUAGUGGAUAUUAUAGGUAUGACCUGCCAAUCAUGUGUCCAAUCCAUUGAGGGUAAGAUUUCGAAGAUACCAAGUAUUGUGAACAUAAAGGUUUGCUUGGAACAAAACAAUGCCGUCGUAAUUUAUAAACCUGCAGUAAUAACACCACAACAAAUCUGUGAAGAAAUAGAAGAUAUGGGUUUCGAUGCCACUAUAUCCGACGUUAAAGAAGUUUUGCUGGCUAUAAAACCUGGGAAUUAUAUAGAGGAAACAGUCAAGAUC